rnacentral:rRNA from 1 species
CACGAACGCUGGCGGCAGGCUUAACACAUGCAAGUCGAGCGCCCCGCAAGGGGAGCGGCAGACGGGUGAGUAACGCGGGGGAAGCUACCCAUCUCUACGGAAUAACGCAUGGAAACGUGUGCUAAUACCGUAUACGACCUUCGGGAGAAAGAUUUAUCGGAGAUGGAUGAGCCCGCGUUGGAUUAGCUAGUUGGUGGGGUAAAGGCCUACCAAGGCGACGAACAAUAGCUGGGCUGAGAGGAUAAUCAGCCAAACUGGGACUGAGACAAGGCCCAGACUGCUAGGGGAGGCGGCAGUGGGGAAUAGUGGACACUGGGCGCAAGCCUGAACCAGCGAUGCCGCGUGAGUGAUGAAGACCCUAGGGUUGUAAAGCUCUUUCACCGGUGAAGAUAAUGACGGUAACCGGAGAAGAAGCCCCGGCUAACUUCGUGCCAGCAGCCGCCGUAAUAC